GGGGCCGAUUUGGUUUCGACGAUCUGAGUUGAUCGUGGAGAAGCGAGCCGUGGAUGCCAGGCGACCACGUUAAAACCGCUUGUGCACCCAAUUAAGUGCCGAAUCUAAGCGCACUGACUUCGCCCUCGCUGCCUGAUAACAGCGACCGCGAGUCUGUCAGCCUGAGUUUGCUGUCGACUCAGUGACUGGCAUCAGCUAGAUAGCCACUGGGGAGUUGUUCUCGUCGCAGGAAGAACUCCCGACAUUUUUUGCGACUGGGUCUGUCAGGUGCUGGUCUGCAUGACACCUGAGACCGAGCAACACGUUGACGCAGACUGCGCUCGGAGAAGUCCACGAAAAUCCAGAUCGGACGCGGGUUCAAUUCCCGCCGGCUCCACCG
rnacentral:tmRNA from 1 species